GGGCCCUUAGCUCAGUUGGUCAGAGCAGGGAACUCAUAAUUCCUUGGUCGCAGGUUCGAGUCCUGCAGGGCCCA
rnacentral:tRNA from 1 species